rnacentral:rRNA from 1 species
UUACGCUGUUAUCCCUAAGGUAAUUUAGUCUUAUAAUCACUAAAAAUGGAUCAAAAAUUUAUAAACAAAUAUAAAAAAAUAAAAAGAGUUAUAUUAAUCUUCCCAUCACCCCAACAAAAUUUACAUAAUACUAAACAUAUUAACCCACAAAAAAUAUGAAAUUAAAUUAAACUCUAUAGGGUCUUCUCGUCCCAAAAAAAUAUUCAGGCAUUUUAACCUAAUAUUUAAAUUCAACAAAAUAAAAAUUUAAGAAAGUAAACACCUCGUCAAACCAUUCAUCCCAGCAUUCAAUUAAAAAACUAAUGAUUAUGCUACCUUUGCACAGUCAAAAUACUGCGGCCAUUUAAAAAUCAGUGGGCAGGUAAUACUUCAUAAUAUAUACAAGAAGAGAUGUUUUUGUUAAACAGGCG